UACGGAGGAUCCAAGCGUUAUCCGGAAUUACUGGGCGUAAAGAGUUGCGUAGGUGGCAUGGCAAGUUGGUGGUGAAAGACUGGGGCUCAACCCCUUAUCCAUUAUCAAAACUGCCAAGCUCGAGGACGAGAGAGGUAAUUGGAAUUCCUAGUGUAGGAGUGAAAUCCGUAGAUAUUAGGAGGAACACCGAUGGCGUAAGCAGAUUACUGGCUCGUUCCUGACACUAAGGCACGAAAGCGUGGGUAGCAAACGGG
rnacentral:rRNA from 1 species